rnacentral:rRNA from 1 species
GAUGAACGCUAGCUACAGGCUUAACACAUGCAAGUCGAGGGGCAGCAUGGUCUUAGCUUGCUAAGGCCGAUGGCGACCGGCGCACGGGUGAGUAACACGUAUCCAACCUGCCGUCUACUCUUGGACAGCCUUCUGAAAGGAAGAUUAAUACAAGAUGGCAUCAUGAGUCCACAUGUUCACAUGAUUAAAGGUAUUCCGGUAGACGAUGGGGAUGCGUUCCAUUAGAUAGUAGGCGGGGUAACGGCCCACCUAGUCUUCGAUGGAUAGGGGUUCUGAGAGGAAGGUCCCCCACAUUGGAACUGAGACACGGUCCAAACUCCUACGGGAGGCAGCAGUGAGGAAUAUUGGUCAAUGGGCGAGAGCCUGAACCAGCCAAGUAGCGUGAAGGAUGACUGCCCUAUGGGUUGUAAACUUCUUUUAUAAAGGAAUAAAGUCGGGUAUGGAUACCCGUUUGCAUGUACUUUAUGAAUAAGGAUCGGCUAACUCCGUGCCAGCAGCCGCGGUAAUACGGAGGAUCCGAGCGUUAUCCGGAUUUAUUGGGUUUAAAGGGAGCGUAGAUGGAUGUUUAAGUCAGUUGUGAAAGUUUGCGGCUCAACCGUAAAAUUGCAGUUGAUACUGGAUAUCUUGAGUGCAGUUGAGGCAGGCGGAAUUCGUGGUGUAGCGGUGAAAUGCUUAGAUAUCACGAAGAACUCCGAUUGCGAAGGCAGCCUGCUAAGCUGCAACUGACAUUGAGGCUCGAAAGUGUGGGUAUCAAACAGGAUUAGAUACCCUGGUAGUCCACACGGUAAACGAUGAAUACUCGCUGUUUGCGAUAUACAGCAAGCGGCCAGGCGAAAGCGUUAAGUAUUCCACCUGGGGAGUACGCCGGCAACGGUGAAACUCAAAGGAAUUGACGGGGGCCCGCACAAGCGGAGGAACAUGUGGUUUAAUUCGAUGAUACGCGAGGAACCUUACCCGGGCUUAAAUUGCAGAUGAAUUACGGUGAAAGCCGUAAGCCGCAAGGCAUCUGUGAAGGUGCUGCAUGGUUGUCGUCAGCUCGUGCCGUGAGGUGUCGGCUUAAGUGCCAUAACGAGCGCAACCCUUGUUGUCAGUUACUAACAGGUUCCGCUGAGGACUCUGACAAGACUGCCAUCGUAAGAUGUGAGGAAGGUGGGGAUGACGUCAAAUCAGCACGGCCCUUACGUCCGGGGCUACACACGUGUUACAAUGGGGGGUACAGAGGGCCGCUACCACGCGAGUGGAUGCCAAUCCCAAAAACCUCUCUCAGUUCGGACUGGAGUCUGCAACCCGACUCCACGAAGCUGGAUUCGCUAGUAAUCGCGCAUCAGCCACGGCGCGGUGAAUACGUUCCCGGGCCU